rnacentral:rRNA from 1 species
UACGAAGGGGGCUAGCGUUGCUCGGAAUCACUGGGCGUAAAGCGCACGUAGGCGGAUUGUUAAGUCAGGGGUGAAAUCCUGGAGCUCAACUCCAGAACUGCCUUUGAUACUGGCGAUCUCGAGUCCGGGAGAGGUGAGUGGAACUGCGAGUGUAGAGGUGAAAUUCGUAGAUAUUCGCAAGAACACCAGUGGCGAAGGCGGCUCUCUGGCCGGGUACUGACGCUGAGGUGCGAAAGCGUGGGGAGCAAACAGG